ACCCGUUGGCGGAGUCACCCGUUGGUGGUGUCACCCGGUGGCGGUGUUGCCUGGUUGCGGUGUCACCCGUUGGCGGUGUCACCUAGUUAUGGUGUCACCCGUUGGCAGCGUCACCAAGUUAUGGUGUCACCCAUUGGCGGUGUCACCCGGUGGCGGUGUCACCCAUUGGCAGUGUCACCCGGUGGCGGUGUCACCCGGUGGCGGUGUCGCCAAGUUACAGAGUCACCCGUUGGCAGUGUCACCCGGUGGCGGCAUCACCAAGUUAUGGUGUCACCCGUUGGUGGUGUCACCCGUUGGCGGUGUCACCCGUUGGCGGUGUCGCCAAGUUACAGUGUCACCUGUUGGCGGUGUCACCCAGUUGCGGUGUCACCCGGUGGCGGUGUCACCCGUUGGCGGUGUCACCAAGUUACAGUGUCACCUGUUGGCGGUGUCACCAAGUUACGGUGUCACUUGUUGCCAGUGUCACCUAGUUACGGUGUCACCCGUUGGCGGUGUCACCUGGUUGCAGUGUCACCCGGUGGCGGUGUCACCUGUUGGCGGUGUCACUUGUUGGCGGUGUCACCCGUUGGCGGUGUCACCCGGUGGCGGUGUCACCUGGUUGAGGUGUCACCCGUUGGCGGUGUCACCCGUUGGCGGUGUCACCAAGUUACGGUGUCACCCGUUGGCGGUGUCACCUGGUUGUGGUGUCACCCAUUGGCGGUGUCGCCAAGUUACGGUGUCACCUGUUGGCGGUGUCACCCGGCUGUGGUGUCACCCGGUGGCAGGGUCACCCGGUUGCGGUGUCACCCAAUUGCGGUGUCACCCGUUGGUAUUGUCACCCCUUGGCAGUGUCACCCAUUGGCAUUGUCACCCGGUUGUGGUGUCACCAGACUGCGGUGUCACCUGUUGGCAUUGUCACCUGUUGGUGGCGUCACCCAGUGGAUGAUGCCCCCCAUUCCCAGUGUCCCCAGUCCCAUUGUCCCCCAUUCCCGGUGUCACCCUCCACCUGUCCCCCCCCCAGGUCCCCAGUCCCAACAUCUCCCAUUCCCAGUGUCUCCCAGUCCCAUUGUCCCCCAUUCCCAGUGUCUCCCAGUCCCAUUGUCCCCCAUUCCCAGUGUCACCCUCCACCUGUCCCCCCCCCAGGUCCUCCAGUCCCAAUGUCCCCCAUUCCCAGUGUCCCCCAGUCCCAUUGUCCCCCAUUCCCGGUGUCACCCUCCCCCUGUCCCCCCCCCAGGUCCGUUUGAGGGCCCUAACUACCACAUUGCCCUGUGCUGGGUGUACAACCUGACGUCGCUGUGGAUGAUGUCCCCCAUUCCUGGCGUCCCCCAGUCCCAUUGUCCCCCAUUCCCAGUGUCACCCUCCGCCUGUUCCCCCCCCAGAUCCUCCAUUCCCAGUGUCCCCCAGUCCCAAUGUCCCCCAUUCCCGGUGUCACCCUCCGCCUGUCCCCCCCCCAGGUCCCCCAGUCCCAAUGUUUCCCAUUCUGAGCAUCCUCCAG
rnacentral:lncRNA from 1 species